UACGUAGGUGGCGAGCGUUAUCCGGAUUUAUUGGGCGUAAAGAGCGCGUAGGUGGUCUCAUAAGUUGGGCGUGAAAGCCCCCGGCUUAACUGGGGAGGGUCGUUCAAUACUGUGGGACUUGAGGGUGGAUGAGGAGAUCGGAAUUCCCGGUGUAGUGGUGAAAUGCGUAGAUAUCGGGAGGAACACCUGUGGCGAAGGCGGAUCUCUAGGCCACUCCUGACACUGAGGCGCGAAAGCGUGGGGAG
rnacentral:rRNA from 1 species